UGCGGAGUAGAGGAGCGGUUUCCUUGUCGCCCUCAUAAGGCGAAGACCUCGGUUCAAAUCCGAGCUCCGCAA
rnacentral:tRNA from 1 species